ACGGGUGAGUAACACGUAUGCAAUCCACCUGUAACAGGGGGAUAACCCGGAGAAAUCCGGACUAAUACCCCAUAAUAUGGGCGCUCCGCAUGGAGAGCCCAUUAAAGAGAGCAAUUUUGGUUACAGACGAGCAUGCGCUCCAUUAGCCAGUUGGCGGGGUAACAGCCCACCAAGACGAUGAUAGGUAGGGGUUCUGAGAGGAAGGUCCCCCACAUUGGAACUGAGACACGGUCCAA
rnacentral:rRNA from 1 species